rnacentral:rRNA from 1 species
AGAUUGAACGCUGGCGGCAGGCCUAACACAUGCAAGUCGAGCGGCAGCACGGGUACUUGUAUCUGGUGGCGAGCGGCGGACGGGUGAGUAAUGCCUAGGAAUCUGCCUGGUAGUGGGGGAUAACGCUCGGAAACGGACGCUAAUACCGCAUACGUCCUACGGGAGAAAGCAGGGGACCUUCGGGCCUUGCGCUAUCAGAUGAGCCUAGGUCGGAUUAGCUAGUUGGUGAGGUAAUGGCUCACCAAGGCGACGAUCCGUAACUGGUCUGAGAGGAUGAUCAGUCACACUGGAACUGAGACACGGUCCAGACUCCUACGGGAGCAGCAGUGGGGAAUAUUGGACAAUGGGCGAAAGCCUGAUCCAGCCAUGCCGCGUGUGUGAAGAAGGUCUUCGGAUUGAAAGCACUUUAAGUGGAGAGGCAGUUACCUAAUACGUAUCUGUUUGACGUUACGACAGAAUAAGCUAACCGG